AAAGGGGGCUAGCCCUUAAGUUGGUGAAGAAUUAGUGGAAGGCUCUGGAAAGUGCCGCGAUACAGGGUGAUAGCCCCGUACACGAAAAGGCUUCAUCAAUGAAAACGAGUAGGACGGGACACGUGGUAUCCUGUUUGAAUAUGGGGGGACCAUCCUCCAAGGCUAAAUACUCCUGACUGACCGAUAGUGAACCAGUACCGUGAGGGAAAGGCGAAAAGAACCCCUGUUAGGGGAGUGAAAUAGAACCUGAAACCGUGUACGUACAAGCAGUGGGAGCCCACUUGUUGGGUGACUGCGUACCUUUUGUAUAAUGGGUCAGCGACUUACAUUCUGUAGCGAGGUUAACCGAAUAGGGGAGCCGUAGGGAAACCGAGUCUUAACUGGGCGAAUAGUUGCAGGGUGUAGACCCGAAACCGGGCGAUCUAUCCAUGAGCAGGUUGAAGGUUGGGUAACACUAACUGGAGGACCGAACCCACAAAUGUUGAAAAAUUUGGGGAUGACUUGUGGAUCGGAGUGAAAGGCUAAUCAAGCUCGGAGAUAUCUGGUUCUCCUCGAAAGCUAUUUAGGUAGCGCCUCGAGCGAAUACCAUUGGGGGUAGAGCACUGUUAAGGCUAGGGGGUCAUCCCGACUUACCAACCCUUUGCAAACUCCGAAUACCAAUGAGUACUACUCGGGAGACACACGACGGGUGCUAACGUCCGCCGUGAAAAGGGAAACAACCCAGACCACCAGCUAAGGUCCCAAAGUCAUGGUUAAGUGGAAAACGAUGUGGAAAGGCAUAGACAGCUAGGAGGUUGGCUUAGAAGCAGCCACCCUUUAAAGAAAGCGUAAUAG
rnacentral:rRNA from 1 species